AGGAAGGUUUUAAAAUUCACGUUUUCUCUAUCACUAGAAAUCCAAGCAGAAAAGUGAGUCAAGGCUUUGCAUUGCUGCACAUUUGACUUUGCUUUUUUUCUUUUCUUUCUUUUUCUUUUUUUUUUUUUUAAAUCAAAAAUGGUCUUGGACUCUUUCCUCACUCCCUCAUUCCUUUUUCCUAAAGCCUUCCACCAAGUCAUUCAGGGAAAAUGCAAAACAGCCAGCCCACGCAUUCUCUUGCAUCAGCUCAGAGCUCCAGUCUCAAGUGAUCAGGGACCACAAUUUGAAGCUAACCCCUGUCUCGUCUUCUGCCCCCCAGACUCCACACUGGCCAGAUAUGGGAGUCUGUAAAAACCUUUUGUAAAACUGGUGAAGGAAACAAAAAUCAGCUAAAGGAAGUGGUCGGAGCCGGGCAAGUUCAGACGCUUGGAAAUCCAGACACCACAGCACCGCCCCACCUUCCAAUCCAAGGAUGCAAUGUGAGAAGCAGGUCCAACUGGAAAGCCAAAGACACAAAACUGAGCACCAUGGGAGGAGAGGCAAAACGGGAGGAAAAGCAAAGCCAGCAGGUGCCAACAGACGAGCUGCCUCCCGCGCAUGAUUGUCAACAGAGCCCCAGAGCCUCCCGGAGAAGACGGGCGAGGCUCCUCAGGCAGAUGCCAGGGCUGGAGAUGAGAGCUGCAGGCGGCUGGGCGCUUUUAUACUUCGACACCAGCAGCAGAAGGCAGUUGGGUGACUCCAGAACACUGAGCUGGCUUCAGGUUCAGAGCGUCUGGAUUUAGCAAAAGCAUUUCCCAGUCCCAGGUUAUAUUUCCUUUUCCCUUGUGUUUCCAAAAGCCGAGGUUAAAUUAAAGUCAGUUAUUGCCAGAUAAAGAUACAACAUCCUGUUUUGUAUUAAAAGAAGACUGUUUGGCUCAGGCUACUCAUCUUUCUGACAUAUUCUUGAUUAAAAGCGAAGAAAUGGAAAGUGCCAAAGCAAACAUUACCUCAAAUAGAUCGGAAUGGAGAGAAUUAUCAUUUUAUUUGCUACACUUUUAUUAAUGUGGCCAAAGAGCAAAUGGAUAGUCCUGACUUUUAUGAUCAUAAAUUAAGGGAAUUUAUGUAGCUUUGUCAUUAAAAUUGCUUCUAUUUACAUAUCAUUUCAUUUAGUAUUACUGAUUCCCUCACAGAACAAAAAGUCACUCCCCUUCCCUCAGGAGAAUUGCAGAGACCCUGGGACUUAAAGGGACCAUGAGAGGCAAGUGUCCGAUGCUAAGGGGACAAGUGUGGCACUGUAAGAAAGCCAAGCCUUGGACAAGCCAGGCCUGAUGAUGAAGUGAUAUCGAGCAGCUGGAGAGAGAAGAGAGGCAGGAGAGCCACCCACAGCUGCCUUCCUUACUCAGCAAAGGGACCUGAAAAACAAAAGCCACUGAGGCUGGUUGUAUCACUUCUUUGGGACAGCUGUCCCUAGAGCCCACAUCUAUACUUUGGAGGAAUCUGGUCCUGGGAACAGUGUGGGAAGUGAGAGAAUUUUUCUGUAGAAUAGAAGCUCUCCAGUUCACGAGUGUGGGGGCCUUGUGAGUCAUGCUUAUUCAAAGCGAGCAGUUCCCACCUAGUGGAGUAUGAGAGGCUUUGCCAUCCCCAUCCCGUAGGUCUACCAGUCCAAAAUCUCCUCACUGGAGAAUUCUUUGAGAUCUGUGAUGAGCACGCCUAGGUAAGUCUCCCUAGGGAGGAUAGCACAUCAAUCCUGUUAUCUGGCAUUAACUCUGACAGAGGAUGUCUUUACCAGACCCGGAGCUGCAGACCGGGGAAGUUAACACCUGGGUCUUGUGGUCAGGCAGGCGGAUGGAAUGUCACUGUGAGGAAAAGGUCCAGGGGAGUGUCUCAGUGGGGAUGCUCCCUCAUCAGAGAGGCCUGGAAAUGAUUUUACAGGAAGACCAUGAAGCAAGAAAUGGCUCUGCGAUCCAGGUCACCUAACUCCCAAGUUUUCUGAGAGCUGUCCUUGGCAGCUCCCACCACCUGGACCACCUAGCGAAGUCGCUACAAGCCAACAUCUUCUGACUUUCAACUGCAUUGAGGCUUUCCGUUGGUGUUUUCAAUGCUUUCAACUAUUCUAGUGGUUCUCACUCCCAGCUGCCUGUUAAACCAGGAAGCUUCUAAAGAUAUCAGUGCCUGGAUCCCAUCCCAGACCAAUGGAGUCAGACUCUGUAGUGGGGCCAGGGCACCAAUAGUUUUGAAAAAGUUCCCCGAGAUAAUUCUACUAUGCAGCCAGGGUUAGGGAAUCACUGAUGCAUCCUCUCCUUGACUCAACAGGAAUAAAUAACAACAUCUAUAAUUUGUUGAGCA